UGAAUUUAUAAAGUGCUAUGAGAUCAUCAUCUCUUCAGGGAAGGAAUUUAAGUGCAAAUAUCAGGUAGAUAUAGAGAAAGCAUUAACAUGGAUGGCUGACUGGAAAACUCCAGUAUUCUAAGGUUUGAACCUUUGCAUGAAGCUUCCUCCCCGAAUGACAAUCAAGAAGGAAUUGGCUCUGUCUCAGUCUCAACAUAUGUGUGGGCAAAAAAUGAAGGAUCAUCCCACUCCCUCUCACACCAUAAAGCCUGAACCUCAGCGUUUCAGCAAAGUACGCCAUGGAGCAGCAAUCAACAGGUGCUGACUUCAUCCCCUUGAAGGACCUGUGGGAACAAUAGAUGCAAAGUGCUUGGGAAUCCUUUGGACAAACUGUAGGGUUUUAUCAUCUGCUUGGCAGAUUGCCUCUUACUCCCUGUCUGAGCAAAAACAGUAUUGCUGUGAAAACAAGAGGAAAGGCUAAUAACUUCCAUGGGAAGAUAGGGAUGUAUACCUUCAUGUCUCUGUGGGAGGUACUCAGAUACCAUGGUGAUGGCUGCCAUAUACAAACCUAGCUAUCUGCAGCUGGUUCAGUAACAGCAGCAGAAAGCUCUAUUUUAAUCACGGAAUGAAAUGCCAGGGGUGCUGCUCUCCAGGAAAGCAAUCUCGUUUGUAUAGAACCCUAGGAAUUCAAUCACUCUCUAAUCAAAUCUUAUGCAUCUGCCCAAAACACAGCUGUCACCGUAUGGCUGACAUUUUUUGCUCCCUUUUGCCUGCCCAAACUUUGGAGGUUUUUAAAGGCAUAUUGCCAAGUUGAAAAUUGAA